UAGGGAAUCUUCGGCAAUGGGGGCAACCCUGACCGAGCAACGCCGCGUGAGUGAAGAAGGUUUUCGGAUCGUAAAGCUCUGUUGUAAGAGAAGAACGUGUGUGAGAGUGGAAAGUUCACACAGUGACGGUAACUUACCAGAAAGGGACGGCUAACUACGUGCCAGCAGCCGCGGUAAUACGUAGGUCCCGAGCGUUGUCCGGAUUUAUUGGGCGUAAAGCGAGCGCAGGCGGUUUAAUAAGUCUGAAGUUAAAGGCAGUGGCUUAACCAUUGUUCGCUUUGGAAACUGUUGAACUUGAGUGCAGAAGGGGAGAGUGGAAUUCCAUGUGUAGCGGUGAAAUGCGUAGAGAUAUGGAGGAAAACCGGUGGCGAAAGCGGCUCUCUGGUCUGUAACUGACGCUGAGGCUCGAAAGCGUGGGGAGCAAACAGG
rnacentral:rRNA from 1 species